rnacentral:rRNA from 1 species
GUGGGGAAUAUUGGUCAAUGGGGGAAACCCUGAACCAGCAACGCCGCGUGAAGGAAGAAGGCUUUCGGGUUGUAAACUUCUUUUAUCUGUGACGAUAGUGACGGUAGCAGAUGAAUAAGCCACGGCUAACUACGUGCCAGCAGCCGCGGUAAUACGUAGGUGGCGAGCGUUAUCCGGAUUUACUGGGUGUAAAGGGCGCGUAGGCGGGAAAGCAAGUCAGAUGUGAAAACUAUGGGCUUAACCCAUAGCCUGCAUUUGAAACUGUUUUUCUUGAGUGCUGGAGAGGCAAUCGGAAUUCCAUGUGUAGCGGUGAAAUGCGUAGAUAUAUGGAAGAACACCAGUGGCGAAGGCGGAUUGCUGGACAGUAACUGACGCUGAGGCGCGAGAGCGUGGGGAGCAAACAGGA